rnacentral:lncRNA from 1 species
GUCCAGCACCUUGGCGAACGCCACGGCGGAUCCGAUGAUGUUGACGAGGAUGAUGAUGAUGGGGGUCACCAUGAGCCAGGUCCAGCGCACCACGUACAGGUCGGCGUAGGGGUCCUUCUUCUCGUCGCCGGCGGGCUGCUUGGAUGUGAGCUUGAAGGAGAUGUCUCGCCGGAACACCACUUUCACCAGCACCUGGCACACGGCGGCCAGGUACGCGGAGCAGCUGGCCGUCAUCCAGAACUGCCCGUUCCUGAACCACUCGAAGACGGUGACGCCCGCCCAUUUCACCUCCAGGACGGCCAGGAUGAGC